rnacentral:ribozyme from 13 species
AGAGACAAAAAGAAAGAGAUAAAUAGAGAGAGCGAAAUAGAGAGAAAGAGUAAGAUGAAGAAGAGUGGGGGUCGAACCAGUAUUGUUUCUCUUUCUCUUUUUUUUGUGUUAUUGUUUGUUUUUUAUU